rnacentral:rRNA from 1 species
GUGUCAGCAGCCGCGGUAAUACGAAGGAUUCGAGCGUUAUCCGGAUUUAUUGGGUUUAAAGGGUGCGUAGGUGGACUAAUAAGUCAGUGGUGAAAGCCCGCAGCUUAACUGCGGAACUGCCAUUGAUACUGUUAGUCUUGAGUACAGUUGAGGUGGGCGGAAUGUGUCAUGUAGCGGUGAAAUGCUUAGAUAUGACACAGAACACCGAUUGCGAAGGCAGCUCACUAAGCUGUAACUGACACUGAGGCACGAAAGCGUGGGGAGCAAACAGGAUUAGAUACCCUGGUAGUCCACGCCCUAAACGAUGAUUACUCGAUGUUGGCGAUACACUGUCAGCGUCUAAGCGAAAGCAUUAAGUAAUCCACCUGGGGAGUACGACCGCAAGGUUGAA